UACGGAGGGUGCGAGCGUUGUCCGGAAUCAUUGGGCGUAAAGGGCGCGUAGGUGGCCCGGUCAGUUCGUGGUGAAAGCGCGGGGCUCAACCCUGCGUCGGCCAUGAAUACUGCCGCGGCUGGAGCACUGUAGAGGCAGGCGGAAUUCCGGGUGUAGCGGUGGAAUGCGUAGAGAUCCGAAGACACCGGUGCGAGGCGGCCUGCUGGGCCAGUUGCUGACACUGAGGCGCGACAGCGUGGGGAGCAACAGGG
rnacentral:rRNA from 1 species